rnacentral:lncRNA from 10 species
ACAGUAGAUGCCGUGUGAGCGGAAGAGCAUCUUCAGGGAAAACGUGUGAGAAAUGGGGGAGAGGAAACCUGACUCCAAAUAAACCAAGAACACGGCAGAAAUUAAGGAGCUCGCAAAAGCUGUGAGAGGGCAGCGAGUUGCCAGUUCAUAUAAAUGAAGAGAUCAGCAGAGUCCACCGCCGACUGGUUGCGAAGAAGUCUAAAAACAGACCCAAGGAUUCGGAAAUUCGGGGCCGUCGUAGAGCCACUCAUUUCAGUAGAACAGUGAUAAACUUAAAGAAGUCCCUCACCCAGACACAGCAUAAUAAAACAGCUGAAAACCAAACAC